rnacentral:snRNA from 1 species
AAAGAUACCUAGCUAGGGAGAUACCAAGAUCACAAAGGUGGUGGUUUUCCCAGGGCGAGGCUUAUCACACUGCACUCUGGAUUUGCUGACUCCUGCGAUUUCCUCAAAUUCAAGAAACUUGAGUGCAUAAUUUGUGAUAGUGGGGGGACUGUAUUUGCACUCUCCCA